rnacentral:rRNA from 1 species
AUUGAACGCUGGCGGCAGGCCUAACACAUGCAAGUCGAACGGUAACAGGAAGCAGCUUGCUGCUUUGCUGACGAGUGGCGGACGGGUGAGUAAUGUCUGGGAAACUGCCUGAUGGAUGGGGAUAACUACUGGAAACGGUAGCUACUACCGCAUAACGUCGCAAGACCAAAGAGGUGGACCUUAGGGCCUCUUGCCAUCGGAUGUGCCCAGAUGGGAUUAGCUAGUAGGUGGGGUAACGGCUCACCUAGGCGACGAUCCCUAGCUGGUCUGAGAGGAUGACCAGCCACACUGGAACUGAGACACGGUCCAGACUCCUACGGGAGGCAGCAGUGGGGAAUAUUGCACAAUGGGCGCAAGCCUGAUGCAGCCAUGCCGCGUGUAUGAAGAAGGCCUUCGGGUUGUAAAGUACUUUCAGCGGGGAGGAAGGGAGGAAAGUUAAUACCUUUGCGCAUUGACGUUACCAGCAGAAGAAGCACCGGCUAACUCCGUG